rnacentral:rRNA from 1 species
GACGAACGCUGGCGGCGUGCCUAAUACAUGCAAGUUGAGCGCUGAAGGUUGGUACUUGUACCAACUGGAUGAGCAGCGAACGGGUGAGUAACGCGUGGGGAAUCUGCCUUUGAGCGGGGGACAACAUUUGGAAACGAAUGCUAAUACCGCAUAAAAACUUUAAACACAAGUUUUAAGUUUGAAAGAUGCAAUUGCAUCACUCAAAGAUGAUCCCGCGUUGUAUUAGCUAGUUGGUGAGGUAAAGGCUCACCAAGGCGAUGAUACAUAGCCGACCUGAGAGGGAGAUCGGCCACAAUGGGACUGAGACACGGCCCAAACUCCUACGGGAGGCAGCAGUAGGGAAUCUUCGGAAAUGGACGAAAGUCUGACCGAGCAACGCCGCGUGAGUGAAGAAGGUUUUCGGAUCGUAAAACUCUGUUGGUAGAGAAGAACGUUGGUGAGAGUGGAAAGCUCAUCAAGUGACGGUAACUACCCAGAAAGGGACGGCUAACUACGUG